CGGGUGAGUAACGCGUGAGAAUCUACCUUUUGGAGGGGGACAACACUGGGAAACCAAUGCUAAGACCCCAUAGGCUGAAAAGUGAAAAACGAAAGUUGCCAAGAGAGGAGCUCGCGUCUGAUUAGCUAGUUGGUAGUGUAAAAGACAACCAAGGCGACGAUCAGUAGCUGGUCUGAGAGGACGAACAGCCGCACUGGGACUGAGACACGGCCCAGACUCCUACGGGAGGCAGCAGUGGGGAAUUUUCCGCAAUGGGCGAAAGCCUGACGGAGCAAUACCGCGUGAGGGAGGAAGGCCUUUGGGUUGUAAACCUCAAAAAUUAGGGAAGAAAAAAAUGACGGUACCUAAUAUAAGCAUCGGCUAACUCCGUGCCAGCAGCCGCGGUAAUACGGAGGAU
rnacentral:rRNA from 1 species